AUCAUCCUUUUCUUGGGGUAGUGCUACUGUCCAAUGAACAGGUAGUGAGGGCAGUACUGGUAAUGCCUACACAACAAUGUCUGCAUUAACUAGAGCUUUGCUCUACUUGGGCGCAAUUUUUGGUAAA
rnacentral:ncRNA from 1 species